CCUACAAAUCAUCAUAUUUUGUACCUAAACAUAUCAAAAUCAAUAGAUCUUUAUCACUGUACAUAAUUAUGCAAGACAGUGACUUCACUCCAACCAUUAAAUUGUAGAGAGCAAAUUGUACGGGAGGAGUUUUGCUUUAGCGAGAUUCAAACGGCCAACGUGCAUGCAUUGGAAUAACUAAAUGCAGCAAGCAACGCGGGCCAUGCCAAAAAAGGGACCGCAUGCUUAACGAGGAUGGCUUAAUUGACAUACACGUCUAAAACUUUUGGAAAAUCUAGAUUCUCUUAGGCGCUCUACACAGCUGGACGGAGGUAGUGCGUAUUGCAUAUCACAAUCAAUGGAUCUUUAUCAGUCUAUCUAAUUGUACCAGUCAAUUAUUGUCGUCGUAACCUUAAAUUUUAACAACAACACUCAUCGGUACUCUUCCAAUU
rnacentral:lncRNA from 1 species